GCCGGAAGCCCCCUGCUCUGUGGGAACCGGAGGGAGGACAGCGCGAGGUCCCCGGACAAAGCGUGGCGCAUAAGUCCGGCCCGUAACUUGGUGGGCAGGCAACUUAGGGGAUGUGGGCCUGGUUAUAGCUGAGCAUGCUUUUCUAUUCCUCCCAGACCACAGUUCUUCAGACCUGGAGCCACUUUCAGAGAAGAGUAUAAGUUGCACUGAAUUGAAAAAGGGAAAAGUUUAGGACUGCAGAAGAUGGAAUUCCUGGGGACGUUAAACUGGGCUAAGAUGGAGCAGAUAAGAUUUCCUUAAUUAGAGCAAGACACACCUAGUAUCUAGAGCCUGGAAGUCUUGGUCAAGGAUUCUCCCUAACAUCUCAGUUUCUCAGCACUAACAUUCCUGCUACUAAAAUGAAGUGAGAAAUUAAUUUCUGAAGUUAAGUAAAGAAAUAAACUAAAAUUCCUAGAAAAGAGGUAAGAAGAAUGAGCCUUUGAAAAAUGUCUUCACAAAGACUGGCAUGAUGGCAUGGAAGAAAGAGCCCCAGAUAUCCAGUAUACAUCUCAAGGUCAACUUGUCCAAAACAGAGCUACUGAUGAUUUUCCCCUUGAAAUCUACUCUUCCUACAGCUUAUUCAUCUCAAAUAGCUGGAGUACAGUGGCAUGAUCAUAUCUCACUGCAACUUCUACCUCCUGGGCUCAAGCAAUCCUCUUACCUCAGCCUCCUGAGUAGCUGGGACUAUAGGAAGUGAGCAGCGUCUCUGCCUGGCCGCCCAUCGUCUGGGAUGUGAGGAGCACCUUUGCCCGGCCGCCCCGUCUGGGAAGUGAGGAGCGCCUCUGCCCGGCCACCCCGUCUGGGAGGUGAGGAGCAUCUCUGCCCGGCCACCCCGUCUGGGAGGUGAGGAGCGCCUCUGCCCGGCUGCCCAGUCUGGGAAGUGAGGAGCGCCCCUGCCCACCCGCCCAUUGUCUGGGAAGUGAGGAGCACCUCUGCCCAGUCGCCCCGUCUGGGAAGUGAGGAGCGCCUCUGCCCGGCCGCCCCGUCUGGGAUGUGAGGAGCGCCUCUGCCCGGCCGCCCCGUCUGGGAUGUGAGGAGCGCCUCUGCCCAGCCGCCACCCCAUCUGGGAAGUGGGGAGCGCCUCUGCCCGGCCGCCCCAUCUGGGAUGUGAGGAGCGCCUCUGCCUGGCCUCCCCGUCUGGGAGGUGGGGAGCGCCUCUGCCCAGCCGCCCCGUCUGGGAGGUGAGGAGCAUCUCUACCUGGCUGCUCAUCAUCUGGGAUGUGAGGAGCACCUCUGCCCGGCCGCCCCAUCUGGGAAGUGAGGAGCGCCUCUGCCCAGCCACCCUUCGUCUGGGAGGUGAGGAGCGUCUCUGCCUGGCCGCCCAUUGUCUGGGAUGUGAGGAGCGCCUCUGCCCGGCCGCCCCCUCUGGGAAGUGAGGAGUGCCUCUGCCUGGCCGCCCCAUCUGGGAGGUGUACCCAACAGCUCCGAAGAGACAGCGACCAUUGAGAACGGGCCAUGAUGACGAUGGUGGUUUUGUUGAAAAAUAAAGGGGGAAAUGUGGGGAAAAGAAAGAGAGAUCAGAUUGUUACUGUGUCUGUGUAGAAAGAAGUAGACAUAGGAGACUCCAUUUUGUUCUGUACUAAGAAAAAUUCUUCUGCCUUGGGAUGCUGUUAAUCUAUAACCUUACCCCCAACCCCGUGCUCUCUGAAACAUGUGCUGUGUCAACUCAGGGUUAAAUGGAUUAAGGGUGGUGCAAGAUGUGCUUUGUUAAACAGAUGCUUGAAGGCAGCAUGCUCCUUAAGAGUCAUCACCACUCCCUAAUCUCAAGUACCCAGGGACACAAACACUGCGGAAGGCCGCAGGGUCCUCUGCCUAGGAAAACCAGAGACCUUUGUUCACGUGUUUAUCUGCUGACCUUCUCUCCACUAUUAUCCUAUGACCCUGCCACAUCCCCCUCGCCGAGAAACACCCAAGAAUGAUCAAUAAAUACUAAAAAAAAAAAAAAGUUAUUUCUUCUAAUCAAUAUUUCCAAGAGUUUCAACCUCUAAUUUUAAAUCUCUCAGUUUGAUUUCCUCUUUUACUGUCUUUCCUAAGGUGAUUAGCAUUUGUAAUUGCCAGAAGGAAUUAAGUCCCCCAAACCGUAACCUGAUGAAUCACAGAUAGUCAGGUCAAUCACCAGCCUUAUUAAAUAUUCACUUAAAAGUUUAAGUAGUUGUAUUUCAUCACCUAAAAGUUAUAAUUCUACAGUACAAAGGACUUUUUCUUAAAUUAACAUGAAUAACCAGUUAUGUGAUGAUAAAUAAACUUUUUAAGUAAGGAA
rnacentral:lncRNA from 1 species